UGGCUCUCCUGUGCCUCUCCUAGUCUUCUGUCAGUAAAGGAAAUGAGAAGAGGGGCAAUCACAAUUAAUUGACCCUCUUUCCAGGCUGUUGUUAUUCUGAACACAGAGAUGAAGCUCUAUGCACCUACACAGCAGAAGUUCCAGCUCACCAGCAAUGGCUCAGUGGAUGAAUGGUGUUGAUGAAUAUGCUUGCAUAUUAACCAUCAGAUCUCAUCUGUUUAGAGUUUUGCUGACUUCCGUUGGGUCUAAUUUACCUGACCUGGACAACUUAAAGGAAGAGAGAUCUAUUGGUUCAUGAUUUCAGAGAACUCAGUUCAUCAAGGUUAAGGAAGAGGUAUCAAAGCAACUGAAUUCACAUCACAGCAGCUUGUUGGAUGUGAGGGCCACACUGUCACAGAUCUUUGCCCUUUGAUUUAACCUCUCUUGAAACGUCCUCAGACAUCAUAAACAUAUGCACAUCAGGAAGUUUGCCUUGCAACCUUCACAAAGAUUCAGAAUCCAAUCAAGAUGACUACACUGAUCAAUAACCAUGGAUGCCUAGGAUUACUCUAGGAAGAUUCUUUUCAAGAGCCUUGAUAUCAGGAGAAACAUUGUUUGCCCAUGGAGAGUCCCUGGAUUUUGGUUCACCUUUGGACUCGUGCAUUUGGUGGCGAUGUCCUGUUUUCCUGCUUUUGAUUAUGUAGCACUUAUUAACUGCAUUUACAAAAUCAUUAAAAA